rnacentral:rRNA from 1 species
GGGUUGUGAGGUUAAGCGACUAAGCGUACACGGUGGAUGCCCUGGCAGUCAGAGGCGAUGAAGGACGUGCUAAUCUGCGAUAAGCGUCGGUAAGGUGAUAUGAACCGUUAUAACCGGCGAUUUCCGAAUGGGGAAACCCAGUGUGUUUCGACACACUAUCAUUAACUGAAUCCAUAGGUUAAUGAGGCGAACCGGGGGAACUGAAACAUCUAAGUACCCCGAGGAAAAGAAAUCAACCGAGAUUCCCCCAGUAGCGGCGAGCGAACGGGGAGCAGCCCAGAGCCUGAAUCAGUGUGUGUGUUAGUGGAAGCGUCUGGAAAGGCGCGCGAUACAGGGUGACAGCCCCGUACACAAAAAUGCACAUAUUGUGAGCUCGAUGAGUAGGGCGGGACACGUGGUAUCCUGUCUGAAUAUGGGGGGACCAUCCUCCAAGGCUAAAUACUCCUGACUGACCGAUAGUGAACCAGUACCGUGAGGGAAAGGCGAAAAGAACCCCGGCGAGGGGAGUGAAAAAGAACCUGAAACCGUGUACGUACAAGCAGUGGGAGCCUCUUUUAUGGGGUGACUGCGUACCUUUUGUAUAAUGGGUCAGCGACUUAUAUUCUGUAGCAAGGUUAACCGAAUAGGGGAGCCGAAGGGAAACCGAGUCUUAACUGGGCGUUAAGUUGCAGGGUAUAGACCCGAAACCCGGUGAUCUAGCCAUGGGCAGGUUGAAGGUUGGGUAACACUAACUGGAGGACCGAACCGACUAAUGUUGAAAAAUUAGCGGAUGACUUGUGGCUGGGGGUGAAAGGCCAAUCAAACCGGGAGAUAGCUGGUUCUCCCCGAAAGCUAUUUAGGUAGCGCCUCGUGAAUUCAUCUCCGGGGGUAGAGCACUGUUUCGGCAAGGGGGUCAUCCCGACUUACCAACCCGAUGCAAACUGCGAAUACCGGAGAAUGUUAUCACGGGAGACACACGGCGGGUGCUAACGUCCGUCGUGAAGAGGGAAACAACCCAGACCGCCAGCUAAGGUCCCAAAGUCAUGGUUAAGUGGGAAACGAUGUGGGAAGGCCCAGACAGCCAGGAUGUUGGCUUAGAAGCAGCCAUCAUUUAAAGAAAGCGUAAUAGCUCACUGGUCGAGUCGGCCUGCGCGGAAGAUGUAACGGGGCUAAACCAUGCACCGAAGCUGCGGCAGCGACACUAUGUGUUGUUGGGUAGGGGAGCGUUCUGUAAGCCUGUGAAGGUGUGCUGUGAGGCAUGCUGGAGGUAUCAGAAGUGCGAAUGCUGACAUAAGUAACGAUAAAGCGGGUGAAAAGCCCGCUCGCCGGAAGACCAAGGGUUCCUGUCCAACGUUAAUCGGGGCAGGGUGAGUCGACCCCUAAGGCGAGGCCGAAAGGCGUAGUCGAUGGGAAACAGGUUAAUAUUCCUGUACUUGGUGUUACUGCGAAGGGGGGACGGAGAAGGCUAUGUUGGCCGGGCGACGGUUGUCCCGGUUUAAGCGUGUAGGCUGGUUUUCCAGGCAAAUCCGGAAAAUCAAGGCUGAGGCGUGAUGACGAGGCACUACGGUGCUGAAGCAACAAAUGCCCUGCUUCCAGGAAAAGCCUCUAAGCAUCAGGUAACAUCAAAUCGUACCCCAAACCGACACAGGUGGUCAGGUAGAGAAUACCAAGGCGCUUGAGAGAACUCGGGUGAAGGAACUAGGCAAAAUGGUGCCGUAACUUCGGGAGAAGGCACGCUGAUAUGUAGGUGAAGUCCCUCGCGGAUGGAGCUGAAAUCAGUCGAAGAUACCAGCUGGCUGCAACUGUUUAUUAAAAACACAGCACUGUGCAAACACGAAAGUGGACGUAUACGGUGUGACGCCUGCCCGGUGCCGGAAGGUUAAUUGAUGGGGUCAGCGCAAGCGAAGCUCUUGAUCGAAGCCCCGGUAAACGGCGGCCGUAACUAUAACGGUCCUAAGGUAGCGAAAUUCCUUGUCGGGUAAGUUCCGACCUGCACGAAUGGCGUAAUGAUGGCCAGGCUGUCUCCACCCGAGACUCAGUGAAAUUGAACUCGCUGUGAAGAUGCAGUGUACCCGCGGCAAGACGGAAAGACCCCGUGAACCUUUACUAUAGCUUGACACUGAACAUUGAGCCUUGAUGUGUAGGAUAGGUGGGAGGCUUAGAAGUGUGGACGCCAGUCUGCAUGGAGCCGACCUUGAAAUACCACCCUUUAAUGUUUGAUGUUCUAACGUGGACCCGUGAUCCGGGUUGCGGACAGUGUCUGGUGGGUAGUUUGACUGGGGCGGUCUCCUCCUAAAGAGUAACGGAGGAGCACGAAGGUUGGCUAAUCCUGGUCGGACAUCAGGAGGUUAGUGCAAUGGCAUAAGCCAGCUUGACUGCGAGCGUGACGGCGCGAGCAGGUGCGAAAGCAGGUCAUAGUGAUCCGGUGGUUCUGAAUGGAAGGGCCAUCGCUCAACGGAUAAAAGGUACUCCGGGGAUAACAGGCUGAUACCGCCCAAGAGUUCAUAUCGACGGCGGUGUUUGGCACCUCGAUGUCGGCUCAUCACAUCCUGGGGCUGAAGUAGGUCCCAAGGGUAUGGCUGUUCGCCAUUUAAAGUGGUACGCGAGCUGGGUUUAGAACGUCGUGAGACAGUUCGGUCCCUAUCUGCCGUGGGCGCUGGAGAACUGAGGGGGGCUGCUCCUAGUACGAGAGGACCGGAGUGGACGCAUCACUGGUGUUCGGGUUGUCAUGCCAAUGGCACUGCCCGGUAGCUAAAUGCGGAAGAGAUAAGUGCUGAAAGCAUCUAAGCACGAAACUUGCCCCGAGAUGAGUUCUCCCUGACUCCUUGAGAGUCCUGAAGGAACGUUGAAGACGACGACGUUGAUAGGCCGGGUGUGUAAGCGCAGCGAUGCGUUGAGCUAACCGGUACUAAUGAACCGUGAGGCUUAACCUUACAACGCCGAAGCUGUU